GGCACCUGGGAAGGGUUUCUCGCCCUUCACUCCGGUCAUCAGCCCUGAAUUAAGUCCACAAUUGACUUAGUUCAUUCUAAGUUCGAAAGUUUGUGGAUCAACGCCGACGCAAUACUUUAAGCGGUCGCCUGUUGUCGCCAGUUUUCCAAGCGAUUUUCAAAGAAUCGACAGUGCCCACAUUCGGCUGCUAGAUGGCCACCAUUACUCGAACAAGAAGUCCUCUAAUGCAACGGAAAUUGUCUGUUCUUCGUUUGGGUUGAUAACCACUCUGCUUCACCGUUCCUCUUCAGAAAGCUCUGAGUUCAUUUCGCAGCUGAGAGAUUUGCUGAACUCAGUAUAUCUCAGUAAAAUGUCUAUCGACGAAGAAAAUGAAGGCCAAGCAAACAAAGAACGACCACGUGCUUCACGAUGCUUGGAAAUGCCAACGACACCAACGAACAAGACAUCAUCUGUGGCCAUGACACCCCCAAACAGUGGAAACUCGCAAAGAGCUGAAAAAAAGAAUGUUUCCCCAAAUCUAAAGGAGAUCAGCGAAAAGGAAGAUUUGGAUACUCCAGAAAAGGUGCUGUUGAUGAAGCAGCGAAGCAGUCGCGUCAUCAAGGAAGUGCAUAACGUGUGCGAAAGAAACAGGGAAAGUUUGGCGAUGGUGCUUUCGAACAUGUGCGCAUUUGGCGACCCAGAAGCGAAGGCCAUCGUCAAUGAAAUUGUCGAAGAGAUGGCUGUAAAAAUGGGAGUACAUCACAGGGCUCAGAAGGACGGGGGUAGAGCUCAUAUGUUGUUUGGAAUUGUUCCCCAUGAUGGUGCUGUAUAUAGCCAGCAAAGUGCAAAAUCAGUCUACACAUUGACAAUUGCCAACUGUAAAGAAGACAGAGACAACCUCAAGAUUCUUUUUGAGGAAAUCAACCACCAGAAGAAAAUAUUAAAGGAAAAAGGAAUGACAGUUGAUGGUAGACAUUACACCGUUGAAUUUCUGGUUGUACUGGACUACAAGACCUUGGUACUUCUUUUGGUGAAGAAGAUGAAUGCUUCAUUCAUGUUAGGUGGUAGAGGUGUCAGUGUCGAGUUCUGUUUCAUCUGCAAUGCUAUCAGGGGUUGCAAAUGCCAUGAUGUUGCUCCAGAUGAGACAUGCCUGGAUUGCCUCAGAAGCAAAUGCAACAUGGGAAGAUCAACUGGUAUACGAGAUGAUCUGGUUUUUCUUUUGGACGAAGAGCUUUGCAACAUUCAACUUUGUGCUCUCCAUAUGGAGAUGCGCAACACUGAACAGUUGUUGGCAUCCAUUGGUCUUCUUGCAUACAGGGUAGAUUCCCUAGCAGAGGCCAAUGCUGCCUUGAAAAACUAUGGCCCAGAGUCAUUUCAUGGCGAUUGCAUCUCAGUAAAGAAGAAGUCAGAUCAACAGUCUGCUAUUACAAAGCAGAAUAUCCAUGUCAGUUCAAUGUCUGGUCCAACAGAUCAGGAAAUCCUUCAACACCUUGAAGAAAUUGUAGAACUUGCCCUACCACUGGAUAAAUUCAAGAAGCCGUAUGAAGAUGUGAACACGGCAAAAAAUUUGAUCCUUAACAGAGUUACAUUUUACCAGGCUCGUGUUGAUGUUAGUAAGAAGCAACUAUUAUUUUUAUACUUGCAACUUGAUUUAACAUCGUGUAGUCAAGAUCAUUGGUAAUGUGUAUUCAUUGAGUUCAUACAGCGUCCAGACGAUCCGUCGGAGUGCGCUUUAGGAAUCAAAUACCUCUUACUUUUCAGAAGCUUUAAGCAAGGGCACUUUUGUAAGAGAUUUUGGUACACAUACUGAGAUAAUUGAUUUGGAAGGCUCAGAUAUUAAAGCUGACAUGGAACCUCGCCUUGUUCAGUGGCAAGGCAAGUUGGAUGAGCUACAUGUCUUUUUCAAGAAGUUGUGCAAGUCACGCAAAAAGUCACUAUUCACUAUCCACUAUUGUUUUUCUUGCGUUAGAUCUGCUUUUUUCGAUUCGAUUGCACCUUGACUAUUUUUGUACCGCUACUCCUCUUGCGUUAUAUUUAUUUAAAUGAGCAAUUUUUAAAAGACAGAAAAUGUCCUUCUUUCAAUAACGUGGCGGAAUAAAACAAUUACACAAAGAUGUUACUAUGAUACUUUUUGGUACGAAAUAUUUUAAUUUUGACCAGCACUGUUAUGCCUAAUUUUGUCCAUAAACGGACAAAAUUGCUCCGAUUUUGAGACGACAUUACAGCUUUUUGGCAGCGAUCGCCAAGAAACUGAAUGUGCCACGGAAUUACACCCAAUUAAGAAAGAUAUUUUCACCCUUCCAGCAGUCAUUAGAAAGCCGUUUUGUCCCCUCAAAAUCGGAUGUAGUUCACACGUUAAGGGUAAUAAACUGAUAAAAAAUGAUUUACAGUUAUCCUGUUGUCAAUAGGUUCUUAUUCACGUAAGCUGGGUCAUAAUCUAUUUCUUGCGGCAGAAUCAUGGGGAAGAAGUUGUCCUUCAUUUUAAAAUCGCUGAAAUUGUAGUAACUAAACCUUGAAUGAAACUAUUGUAGGAAGAUUCAUUACUUGACGAGG